CGCAGCCGCGGUAAUUCCAGCUCCAAUAGCGUAUAUUAAAGUUGUUGCAGUUAAAAAGCUCGUAGUUGAAUUUCGAGAUCAAAUUGUUGGUCGUGCCUCGGUACGUACUGGCAUUAUUGAUUUCUCCUUUCUGAAGAACCUUGAUGUCAUUAAUUUGGUGUCUUGGGGAAUCAGGACCGUUACUUUGAAAAAAUUAGAGUGUUUAAAGCAGGCUCACGCUUGAAUACAUUAGCAUGGAAUAAUGAAAUAGGACGUUUGAUUCUAUUUUGUUGGUUUCUAGGAUCGACGUAAUGAUUAAUAGGGAUAGUUGGGGGCAUUAGUAUUCAAUUGUCAGAGGUGAAAUUCUUGGAUUUAUUGAAGACUAACUACUGCGAAAGCAUUUGCCAAGGAUGUUUUCAUUAAUCAAGAACGAAAGUUAGGGGAUCGAAGACGAUCAGAUACCGUCGUAGUCUUAACCAUAAAACUAUGCCGACUAGGGAUCGGAUGAUGUUAAUUUUUUAAUGACUCAUUCGGCGCCUUAC
rnacentral:rRNA from 1 species